AAAGCAAGACGAGAUGAUUACCUCGACGUUUAAGUACGUUGAGGAGGAAAGUCCGAGCUCCAAAGAGUAAUGUAUCCUGUUAAUUUCAGGACAUCCGUUUACGGGUAGGAUUAGAGCUACAGUGACGAUGCCUCAUUAUGAGGAGUGAAACGAGCAAUCUCUACAUGGAGCAAUGCCAAAUAGGGGAAGAAUUAAUCUUAACGAUUAAUACGAAGUUACUCGCUUCGUUUGUAUUUCCGGGUAGGCUGCAAGAGUUUAAAGAGCAAUCUUUAAAGUUAGUGGAAUGAUCAUCUGUCUUCUAUAAUUUUGCAUUAAGGAAAAACUAAAUGCAAAAUUUUAUGAAGACUUACAGAACUCGGCUUAUUGUCUUGCUUUAUUA
rnacentral:RNase_P_RNA from 1 species